rnacentral:rRNA from 1 species
GACGAACGCUGGCGGCGUGCUUAACACAUGCAAGUCGAGCGGUAAGGCCCUUUCGGGGGUACGACGAGCGGCGAACGGGUGAGUAACACGUGGGUGACCUGCCCUCAGCUCUGGGAUAAGCCUGGGAAACCGGGUCUAAUACCGGAUAUGACUCCAUGACGCAUGUUGUGGGGUGGAAAGCCUUGUGCGGCUGAGGAUGGGCCCGCGGCCUAUCAGCUUGUUGGUGGGGUGGAUGGCCUACCAAGGCGACGACGGGUAGCCGGCCUGAGAGGGCGACCGGCCACACUGGGACUGAGACACGGCCCAGACUCCUACGGGAGGCAGCAGUGGGGAAGUCUUGCGCAAUGGGCGAAAGCCUGACGCAGCGACGCCGCGUGAGGGAUGACGGCCU